AGGCAGUGAGGAGCAAGGCCCAAGUGGGCUCGCCGUUCGCUUUGCCAUGACCGAAGACCUACGAGCAACAAAUGAAUGAAGUAAACAAAGGCAGCGAGAAAAGACACUGACUAUACAGAAUCCCGUAGGAACACAACGGUUGAGAAGAAGGAGCCAAUCACAAUCACCCAUGGUGAGGGCCAAGCCAGUGUUCCAAUCACCAGAUUGCCAUUAACUGCUUCACCAAAUCUGCAUACAGGAACAUGAAAUAGUACCACUCCUUCGAUGCAGGCACCAAACAGUAUCACACAGGACAUGUCUGGAAUAUGGCGUAAAGGUACACAGGCAGAGAGCUAUGAGAUGUAUAAUUCUGCACAGUUGCUUCAACCUGGACACGACGGUGUGACAGUUUGCGAGCAGGCGCAGGGUGGCACCGUCACUGCCCUGUCAACAUUGCUCCCAUCUGUGCCCCACUUUUCACCCGACUGUCCUGGCUGCUCACCAGCCAGCAACAUGGAGGGCGGCUGAAAAGAGACAGGGAUCUAUGGGGCUGCCAUGUGGCCAGCCCACCAAGGCCAAGGGAAAAGGCAGCCUCUCCGAGGAUGGUCUGGCCAGAGCUUUCAGGUCGCUCGUGCCGCGUCUCUCUCCCGGAGAAUGCCAACAAGCAGGAUGACUUCAUACUUCCUUAAUCCCCUUGGCCUACUCCGGUGCUGCUUGGAAAGCCCCCUCACAGCUCUCUCACACCACGCGUUGGACUUAGGCCCUCUUCCAAUCUGCCCUCCCCUGGCCAGGCUACCCCUCUAUCUAGCCCCUACAUACAGCCUGCUCUGUCCUCCCCAGUUAAGAACAUGGGUAUCAACUAAAUCUCUGCUACUCCUCCCCAGGGAUUUUUAGAGAUG